rnacentral:lncRNA from 1 species
CUCUUUCCCUAAGCAGCCUGAGGGUUGACUGGAUUGGUGAGGCCCGUGUGGCUACUUCUGUGGAAGCAGUGCUGUAGUUACUGGAAGAUAAAAGGGAAAGCAAGCCCUUGGUGGGGGAAAGUAUGGCUGCGAUGAUGGCAUUUCUUAGGACACCUUUGGAUUAAUAAUGAAAACAACUACUCUCUGAGCAGCUGUUCGAAUCAUCUGAUAUUUAUACUGAAUGAGUUACUGUAAGUACGUAUUGACAGAAUUACACUGUACUUUCCUCUAGGUGAUCUGUGAAAAUGGUUCGCUAUUCACUUGACCCGGAGAACCCCACGAAAUGUAAGUGGACAGGAGGUAGAUACCCAUUUCCUACUUGGGGCUUGGCAUAAGAUACCAAAAAUUAACCAAAACGUUUUAUUUUCUAGCAUGCAAAUCAAGAGGUUCCAAUCUUCGUGUUCACUUUAAGGUAUGCGAUUCAUAGUUGUGAUCCAACAGUUCCUCAUGUUCCACUCAAAAAAGGUAGCUGCAGUGAUGACUUUCUUAGGACACCUUUGGAUUUACCGUGAAAAUUAAUAAAUUCUGAGCAGCCACCUUAUAUUUAGGCAUUG